CGCAUCUGUGCAUGCAGCAUAUCAAUAAGCGGAGGAAAAGAAACUAACAAGGAUUCCCCUAGUAACGGCGAGUGAAGCGGGAAGAGCUCAAAUUUGAAAUCUUAAAGGGUUUCCCUUUACGAAUUGUAGUUUAAAGAAGUGUUUUCUGUUGAGGUUUUGGUAAAAGUUCUUUGGAAUAGGACAUCAUAGAGGGUGAGAAUCCCGUAUUUGACCUUUACUUUCAACUUUGUGAUACACUUUCAAAGAGUCGGAUUGUUUGGGAAUGCAGUCCAAAAUGGGUGGUAAAUUUCAUCUAAAGCUAAAUAUUGGCGAGAGACCGAUAGCGAACAAGUACCGUGAGGGAAAGAUGAAAAGAACUUUGAAAAGAGAGUUAAACAGUACGUGAAAUUGUCAAAAGGGAAGCGUUUGACACCAGUGUUGUUUUUCUGAAAAUCAAUUAAAGAACUGUUUAUGCUAAGCUGUUUAGACUUUAUCAGCUAACUGUUUAGUUUUGAGCUUUUCUUUAAUGCACUUUUCGGUUAACAAGUCAACAUCAAUUUCUUUUGCUGUAAAAAAGCUUGAGGAAGGUGGCUUGAGAUUCGUCUUAAGUGUUUAUAGCCUCUUGCCUAUGCAGUCGGAGAGAUUGAGGUCUGCAGCGUAGAUCCUUCGGGGCUAAAUGCAUUUGUGCUAAGUUAUAGCAUUUUAUAGACAACUUGUUGACUAUGAUUUGUCUUGUAGCUUACUCGCUUAUGUUAUUUUACCUACGCUUAGGAUGUUGAGCGCAUGUCUCUCUCU
rnacentral:rRNA from 1 species